GAGUUUGAUCAUGGCUCAGAACGAACGCUGGCGGCAGGCUUAACACAUGCAAGUCGAACGCCCUCUUCGGAGGGAGUGGCAGACGGGUGAGUAACGCGUGGGAACCUACCCAGUAGUACGGAAUAACUCAGGGAAACUUGUGCUAAUACCGUAUACGCCCUACGGGGGAAAGAUUUAUCGCUAUUGGAUGGGCCCGCGUUGGAUUAGUUUGUUGGUGAGGUAACGGCUCACCAAGGCUACGAUCCAUAGCUGGUCUGAGAGGAUGAUCAGCCACACUGGGACUGAGACACGGCCCAGACUCCUACGGGAGGCAGCAGUGGGGAAUAUUGGACAAUGGGGGAAACCCUGAUCCAGCCAUGCCGCGUGAGUGAAGAAGGCCCUAGGGUUGUAAAGCUCUUUCGCUAGGGAAGAUAAUGACGGUACCUAGUAAAGAAGCCCCGGCUAACUUCGUGCCAGCAGCCGCGGUAAUACGAAGGGGGCUAGCGUUGUUCGGAAUUACUGGGCGUAAAGCGCACGUAGGCGGAUUGUUUAGUCAGAGGUGAAAUCCCGGGGCUCAACCCCGGAACUGCCUUUGAUACUGGCAGUCUAGAGACUGGAAGAGGUGAGUGGAAUUCCGA
rnacentral:rRNA from 1 species